UACGAAGGGUGCAAGCGUUAAUCGGAAUUACUGGGCGUAAAGGGUGCGUAGGCGGUUCGUUAAGUCUGUCGUGAAAUCCCCGGGCUCAACCUGGGAAUGGCGAUGGAUACUGGCGAGCUAGAGUGUGUCAGAGGAUGGUGGAAUUCCCGGUGUAGCGGUGAAAUUCGUAGAUAUCGGGAGGAACACCGGUGGCGAAAGCGGCUUCCUGGCCCGACACUGACGCUCAUGUACGAAAGCGUGGGGAGCAAACAGG
rnacentral:rRNA from 1 species